rnacentral:misc_RNA from 1 species
CACCAAUCAAGCCUGGCUUGGUAUUGGGCGACGGGGACCGCAAGGCCCCCGCGCCUUAAUGACACCGGCGGGACGGACCGUAUCUCAGCGUUGUGGUAAAAAGCCGCUGGCGAGACGGGCUCGGCCGUGCCGUUAAACAACCCCAUCAAA